GAGAGCGCCGGGCGGGAGGAGAGCGCCGGGCGGGAGGAGAGCGCCGGGCGGCCGGAAACAGAAACGAAGAGGUCCCUAGUGUAGAGCAGCAGCAACGAGCGUUGUAGCGCGCUCAGGAGCCUCCUACAAUAUGGCCGGCUCUACUCGCCUCCUUCCUCCCGCCCCCUGACAUCGUGACACGUGGUUAGCUCUCAGCCAAUAACACGCCGAUGACAGCCGCGCGCCUCAGGCUUUGUAGGCGGAGGCGCGAUUCGAAUCCCGCCGCCGCCGACAUAUAGAUGAGCCCGCGCGCCAGUGAGGUCCCGCCCUGCCCACUGCGUGAAGUGUCGGUUCGUUCUGUACCGCGCCGUCCUUUGUUGUGGUGCUAAGAAACAAAGAGGAGUCCGACAGAGCAAAUACUGCAGUCUGUGCUUUGAAGAAACAGAGCAAAAGAACAAAAAUUUAGUAUCAAUGUUUUUCCAAAACAAGAAGUUACAAAAAAAAUUGUUGCAGUGCUCCUAGAUGUCUCUUGCUGACAGCCUCAUUGAAUGCCAAGUAAGUGAACUUUAUUAAGUGUUUUUCAUAACCCGAAAGCACAAAAUAAACCUGUACAUUUGUGAACAUCCUAUCAGGAUCUGAUCCCGAGUUCGCAGUUAACUUUAUAUUUCAGUGCUGAAAAAGCUUUCCUUCAGGAGAUUAAUUCCCCCCCCCCCCUUUUAUCAUCUAUACAUCACAAAUGCUGCAGUAUUUAAUUCUGACAAAUCAAUAAAAAUGCUAAUUUCUUUGCUAAUCUGCUACUGACUAGGAAGCAAAAUCUUGUUUUUCCCUUGCAAUAUUGGGGGAUAGGGAGUGGAAACAGGCAGGGAAUGGAUUUGUCUACAGCUGUUUAGAAAGACAGCAAAAUCUGGAGACUCCUCACAUCAGCAGAUGGGAUAAGAGUAACACUCCUCCCUUUUUUGGCUUCACUAGUGCAAAACUGAUGCCAGUCAGAUAUCUGUAAGUUCUGCGUGGUCCAUGUGUUUCUAAUUACUGCUCUGUAUUUUAAUAACUCAUGUAUGAUUACAUUACUUUUAAUACAUUCCCUCAAGUAUAGCUUGAACUCUUGCCUAAGAAUUACUUUGAAAUACGAAAUUUUACACAGUACCUAACUGAGAUUCAAUCAGAGUUACUAAUAUUUCCUGCAUACAAAUGAAGUACAAAAAACUUCUGGGAAUUCUUAAGUUAUUGUUCAAGGUACAAUGGAAAAUAAUUUUUUCGUUUCUGCUGAGUCUCUCACAUGGAAAGUUUUCUCAGAAGACUUUAUUUAGUGUACUGUGGGAUCUCCUCCUCCAGAAGAAGCCACAGUAUCAUAAAAAAUAUUUGGGAUGCAGACUCACUGUAUCUGCAUGCCUAUGGCUCAGCCUAAGGUCAAUGAGAGCGGGGAGGAGAAAGCAAUAUAGCCUGAAGCAGCAGUACAGGAAAGACAGAAGCAAACAGAAUGUUGCAAGAACUGUAGUGCUCCUCAGAAUCCAUUAUACAAACCACCACUGUUCGUUUUGCCUUACGCAAGCGGAUCCUAGAGUUUUCAAGGCAGGGAAAAUCACGUUGGGAUGCAUGCUUAAAGGAAUGGAUGCAUGGUGGUGGUUGAUUUUGGCUGAGAUAAUGUCCAGGGAAUGUUCUACACCUCCAUACCCCUGUGCUGAAGUACACAAAUAGACAUAAGAGAGUGAUAUUGCUGUUGGUCCUAGCUGAAGUCACUCCCCACAGUGAUUGCAAAACCCCGAAGGAGAGAGAAAGAAACUGCAGAUGGUGAAGGAGAAGCAGGAACUCAUAAUUACAUAGCUCCACACAAAGAGAUAAUUAGGCACAUGUAAAAAAAACUUUUGUGCAAAACUUUAAGCGUUGCAUUUCCACAGAACACACAAACAGCUAUAAAACAAUUUAGAGAGCAUCUUCUCACUAAUAAAAUAUUAGUUGGCACAGAUGGCUUAUGCUUGUAUAGAAAUACCCGUCUUCAGGAAGAACUUUUUGCUGAAAAAUUAUGGCAUUAAUCGUAUUAAUACUUGAGAGCAAGUUGCUGUGGCUGGUGACAGAAAAACUCCAAUUCACUUUGUAAAGACAAUGAUUAAGGGAACAACAACAUUAAUUGUUGGCAAUUUCUGCGGUUCUCAUCUUGGAUUUAUAAAACUGCCUACUUUUGUUUCAAAUACUUGUUAUAUGCAUUCGUCUGAUAAAUCACAACUCAAAGUUUUAGUUUAAAGGUUCUUGUCCUUUUAGCAGCGGAGGAAAAAAAUGCUGAAUGUGUGAGUUAUUACAAAAUUAAACAUCUUAAUUAAAGAAAAUCAAACAUUUAACUAUAAAUUACUACCUGAGAGGUGAUAGUGGGUAUAGUGAGUUUCCUGGUUUCUGUGCAUUAAUGUGAGCUCUCAUGUGGUUGAUCUGUUCUACAUCUCUGAGCAAGUUUAGUACUGAAUUUCGGAAAACUGGAUCUUAGUAUUCUGUUGCCGUCUCAUUUAUGCUGCCCUCUCCCCACUCAGAGCUUCUUUACUCAAAGAUUAAACACCUGAGAAAGCCAUGGGAGAAAUAUACAGCUAUAAUUAACAUCAUGAAUCAUGGUACUCACCAGACUGGCUCCUCUGUAUGGGCUCCUCUGCUAGGUCACAGAAAAACCACAACAAAACACUAACACCACAACACAUGCACACUGAUGAUGGGUUGGAACAAGAAAAGCAACUCAGAUUGAUGCACAGAAUUAAGGGUUCUUUCCUCCCAUCAGCAACUUAGCUCCAAGUUCCAUAGCAGCAGUUAUGAUAGGGUACUGGGGUAAAGUGCAUUUCGAGACCCUCAGUGAAAACACUGACAUGGUGGAAUCUGGAUUGAGCCUGUCUGCUCCUAAAGUAGCUGCUAUGGGUGACCACCAUGCACAACGUACAAUAUACUUGGAGCAAAUUUCAGGUGUUGACGUGCCCUUUUAUUUAGCUUUAUGCUGAUAGCAUCUUUUAUGUGGCUGGGAAUAUACGGAGAGUCAGUGCGUAUUUUUAGGGUGUGGCAGCUUCCAUACAGGCUUUGGAAUUGCCAGUUUUCACUUUAAACAUUUGAGGACCUAGAGGACUUAUAAAUUUUUAUAAUAAAUUACAAGACUUUAAUUAUAAUUUUUAAGUUUGGCAUCUGUGUAGUUGAGUUCUUAUUUAAUAAUGUUGUUCAUAAAGUCUUACGAAGUCUUUACUAUAUUUCAGAGUUAGGAACUGUGAUUGCCUCCACGUAUCAAGUGAUUUCUAAGGUAGAGUCCUAGUAUCAUUUCUCCAUGAGGGGCGAAAACAAGCAAGCAAACAAAAAGCCCACAACACUCUUAUAUUCUCAGAAAAUAAAACUCAGUAGUAAAUUCCUCCUUCCUCAGGACUGAAAUCUGUUUCAACUGAAGCCAGUGCGUUCGAUUAGAAGCGGGAUCCAGCCAACCAAAGGGAUAACAAAGAAUAUUCACUUGUUCAUAUUAUUUCCAUUUUUUUUCUAUUUACUUUAUUAGUGUUUGUAUAAUUAGUGUGUUGAUAUAAUCUCAAAUUACUGUUAACAGAAAUUUAUAGAUGGACUGCAAUAACAUUAUAAUUAAAACAUGGGAAAAAAGAUCACUAUCUGUGUUUAUUUAUUUUAGAAAUCAGAAAAACAUAGUUUUUAUGAGUCAGUUAUUUUUUCCAUCUAUUAAAAAAUUGCAUUAUGCAGGAGCUCAAUAAAAUUAGCAUAAGUUCUAGGAGAGCUAAUGACAAUAUUGAAACUGUACUGAACUCAGAUAGUCAUAUAUUUAAAGUACACUAGAAAACAUAUUUUCAAUAUUUUGUCUGUGUCUUAUAUUUCUAGCCUAUGUGGAAGUGCUGAGAAGUACUAUGUAUUUCUGAUCUGAUAUUGAGAGAGGUAAAUAUAACACUUUGAGACAUACAUAAACAAAUAUCCAACAACAGUGACAGUACAUCUCUGUCAAUUACGGCUUCUUGCACUGGUUUUAUUGGAGUCGGCAGAAUCCAGAAAAAUCAUCAGUUGUUAGCUGUGUAAUAUUCUCUAAUAGUUCUACUGCUUUUUGCUUCUGAAAAGAAAAUUCAGAAUAAGGGAAGGCUUGCUCCAGAUUCGUCAAGUUGGUAGUAACAAUCUGUUCCAUUUUUUAGAGUUUGCUUUACCUCUAUCUGUGAAAUCAUCUCCACUUGCUUGGAGGAGGAAGAACUUGCAAUUUUCUAAACUGUCAUAGCAAUAUUUUUUCACAGCCCAACUACUUAUAGCCCUGAAUGAUGAAGCAGAAGGGAUUACGGAUGCCAAGGACAUCAUAUGACCACUCAUGCAGUCACUUUUAAAAUAUUAUUUGGAGAAUGUCUUUGUUUCGGAUGGAAUAGAGUUAAUUAUCUUCCUAGUAACUGGUACAGUGCUGUAUUUCGGAUUUAGGAUGACAAUAGCGCUCAUAACAUGGAUGUUUUAAUUGCUACUUACAGUAAGUCAAGGAGUGCACCCUCAGCAAAUUUGCAGAUGACAACAAGCUGUGUGGUGUGUUUGACACGCCUGAAGGAUGGGAUGCUGACCAGAGAGACACAGACAGCCUCAAGCAGCGGGCUCAGGAGAACCUCAUGAGGUUCAACAAA